rnacentral:lncRNA from 1 species
GGCCACCUAAAAAACUGUUCUUCAAAAGCAAGCUUGUUUAAGUUCCAUAAGUUGCUUAGCACAAAAAAUAAAGGAUCAUACAGAAAUAAAUGGUCCAGGGCCCUGGUGGGAUUCCAUGUAGCAUGGAGUCUGGGCCUUAGCAGCUUAACUCCCUGCAAAAAAAAAAAAAAAAAAAAAAAAAAAAGAAAAGAAAAGGGAAGUAUACCCUACUGGGGAAUGGAAGUUUAGGGAAGCCAUUCCAAAGGCCUCAAGUUCUGAGCCAGCCACAGAGACCAUGGCCCAGGCGAUGUGCCAGCAUCAACAGGGCAAUGACAGUGACACAGAGCAGCCAGGACUACGCUGGGCAGGGGAUGCCUGGACUUCAUGUCCGCAGGUGUACCCAUAAAAGAGGAGUGACUGGGGCCAUCUCACAGCUACCACCUGGAAUCUUAAAAGCCCAUGGAACUAUGAGAGAGGACAAUUGGUGGGAACAAGUAGGAAAAAAGAUACAUCUGCACCUCUAAGCUAGUGUCAUCAGGAGACAUCUGAUAGAUCCGGCCUAAAUGACUGUUUUAGAAGAAAGUGGAUAUUCCACCAGUCAAUCAAGAAAUUUCCACAGAAGAUAAAAGGCAAGCAGAUUGAAUAUGGGAAUUUACCCAAUUCCAAGAGAAUUUGUUGUGUCCUGCAAUCAUUUGGUUUUACAUCUGUGUCCCAUCUAGGAGCAGUCACCCAGUCAUUUAACCAAAUACCAAAUCCUUAAAUUGUCUGCAAAUACACUGCGGUUCAUUUGGGUAGAUUUCUUUUUAAAGAAAGUCUAUAUAUUAUUAUUAAAAUAAUAGCACAUGUUUAUUAGUAGACAAUUUAGAAAGUAUAUUCAAACCAAAAAAUAAAAGAAAAUGAAAUUAUCCAUAUUUUCC